rnacentral:lncRNA from 1 species
GGACCUGACCGUGGAUUUCUGCCGGAAUAUUCGAUCGCUUCCGCGGUCUCUUGAGCACUUGAGACUGCAUGGAUGCAAUGAGAUGUUGAUGAGAUCGUGCACAACAGUUGGAGAUCCCGAUUGGGAAAAGCUUCAGCACGUUCCUGAUGUAUAUAUUGAUGGUAUAUCACCAUAUCUUCCUUGUCAAGUAGUUUUCGUGAUCGUUUCCUAAUCUGUUUGCUAAAGUGUCAAACACCAGGCGACAGGGUGGAGACGAGAGCCCAAGUAGAUGGCGGAUCUUCAUCAUCAGCGCCCAAGAACCUGUUCCGCAGCCCUAUGGCGUGGAAGUCGUGUGAUCCUUAAACCUGCCUGCCAAUAUACUUGGUCCAUUCCAUUGUAUGUCACUGAUUUUGAGAGUGAAGUGCUGCUGCUGCAGUCACUGCGUCAUCAGCUACACGGCGCAGGAUUUGAUCAUGUUUGCAAAUGUUGUGCACUGGUUUUAUUUGUUCCCUCCCUAUGGGCCAUAUAUGGUCCUUGAUAACGUCCAACUAUGUCAUGUAAUAAGGGAAAAGAUUUCCGUCGGUCGGAUGAAAACAAGAAAUGUCACCCCCCUUGCUCUUCCGCCACGUUGCUCUGUGAACCGAUGCACCGCUUCUCCAUCCCUCCUCCCUCUCCAUCUUAUCUCUUCCAACAGUUUCUACAACCCGUUCAUUGUUUCAGGAAUUUGUUUCUG